AAUAAUUUUAUUUUUAAUUUUUAAUAUUCAAUUAUUAAAAAUAUAUUUAAUUAUUUUUUAAUCCAAUUGGACUAAGGAAUGGAGCCCAUCUGAAGCCACAUCAGCAUUUAACAAAAAAAUUAACAGAAAAACUGAAAGAGGUCUGACAUUGACACAAAUUCGUAAGAUGAGGUAUGACAUUGUCAAUUUUAAAAGAUGAAGUAUGAAAAUGUCGUGACACCAAUAGUUGAAGUAGUUUUUUGUACUUUACCCAUUUUUUUAACAUUCCAUAUGAUCACGUGGGACUUACAGUGUCUCCUUUUUUCACAAUCAUCGUUUAAAAGUGCCAUGUCUUCGGUUAACUGAGUUUUUGACUUGAAGGUUAACGAAAAUAUGAAAGUGUCAUAAAAUUCAAACUUUAUGUAUGAAAGUGGGAUGAAAAAAUAUUUGACGUAUGAAAGUUAGAAUUUCACAAUACUUGAGAGUAGUAAAAUGAAAAUUACCCUAUUAAUUAUUUUUAUGCUUCUAGGUUCUGGUGUUGGUUGUUUGAGGUUUGACAAUGUUAGUUUAGAAUGUAAAAUAGGGGUUUUCAAAAUUAACAAAUAAGUUUUUUAAGGAGGAUUUAAGGUUUUAGAAUGAACAUUUUUUAGUUGUGGUGAAGCUUAUGACUCAAGUUUUGGAAUCUGCCCGCAAUCUGAGAGCUAAAUUCUAAGCCAUAAGUGUUUAACUUAACAUAGGAUGAAGUAAAAAAUGAGAAAAAAUAAUUAAAAUAGCCAAUAUGACACAGCCCGACCCGGAAUGUCCACUGUAGUCCGAAUCGAGUUGUGCUAGCCAACACCAGAAGGGUAACGAAGCCAUAAAGUGUAGUGAUGUGGAAAAUAUGAAUAAAUUUAAGCCUAAAAGUGCCUAAAUAGAAGAGUGCGCUUGUGAGCGGGAAUGAAUCCAUUUCACACAUGAUGUCAAAGUAUAAGUAAAGUACAAUAAGGUAGGAUGAGAAUCAUACCAUUGAAGAUAAACACCUAUACUAAGAUUUGCCAAGAAUCCUCAUCGACACGAAAACUUAACACUAAAACCUAGAGGGGUGAAAAACAAGGGUGAGUGGGCCUAAAAAUAAAGUUUUAUAAAAGCCUUUUUGAAAACAUUAUAACCCCUUACCGUAAACAAGUAUAGUUUCCAAAUAUACGUAUAGUAUGAAAACACUUACCGUAACCUGCAAUAUAUCAAGAAUUCAAUAUGUCACAAAAUGCGUAAAUAGGCAUAUAACUACCAAUAAUCACAAUAUCUUGCAGAAAUGAACAUAUCACAUUGAUUGCUCAUCGACAUAUGCUGACACACGAGUUCAUGUCGAGGUAUUCUGACAUGAGCAGGACUGGGUGUAAUAAUGAUUUAAGCUUUAGUCUUACAAUCACAUGAAGACUGGCGCUAUAAGCAUCACAUACGAGUCCUAGUUGCCUAUAGCAAUCUAGAACAGGCCUGGCACCUACAAUGAAUCCAAAGUGAGUGUACGAUGUAAUGUGAACAUACAUGUGAAAAACUGACCCUGGCCUGGGUGAGUACUAACACUGGUGCAGCAACGAUGAGCAGAUAACGUAAAUAAAAUCAUACAGCGGUAAAUCAAUAAUUUAUGUCAACAUUUUACUAUUCAAUAAAAUUUAAUCAUGGCCAUAAUUAAAAUCCCACAAAAGUACGUAUACCUAUGCAUCCCGUAGGAUUUAGGAUAAUUUUGUAAAUUUCGUCAUUUUGCUAAUUUUUAUAAACAUUACACUAAUCUAGGCAUACAUAAGAAAUUCUUUUUCAAAUAUAUAAAUGGAAACUAAAUAAAUAUAUUUAAAAGCAAAGACCCACACACAGUUAUUUGCGAGAUUGCAGCCGUUCGAACUAGGAAAACCGGAGUCUCCAAUAGUAAUCGCACCUAACCACAAUAUUGGGACCUAUUAGUAAAACUCUACCGAAACAAAUAAAUUUGAAGAAACAGACAGCGGAUUCGGAAUUAGCAAGUCGAAAUAUGCCAAGAAGGGUCCCGGGCAAAUU
rnacentral:lncRNA from 1 species